UACGGAGGAUCCGAGCGUUAUCCGGAUUUAUUGGGUUUAAAGGGUGCGUAGGUGGUUUUAUAAGUCAGCGGUGAAAGUUUGCAGCUUAACUGUAAAAAUGCCGUUGAAACUGUAAGACUUGAGUGUAAAUGAGGUAGGCGGAAUGCGUGGUGUAGCGGUGAAAUGCAUAGAUAUCACGCAGAACUCCGAUUGCGAAGGCAGCUUACUAAGCUACAACUGACACUGAAGCACGAAAGCGUGGGGAUCAAACAGGAUUAGAUACCCCUGUAGUCCC
rnacentral:rRNA from 1 species